CCUACGGGGGGCUGCAGUGAGGAAUAUUGGUCAAUGGACGAGAGUCUGAACCAGCCAAGUAGCGUGAAGGAUGACUGCCCUCUGGGUUGUAAACUUCUUUUAUAAAGGAAUAAAACGAGGCACGUGUGCCUUUUUGCAUGUACUUUAUGAAUAAGGAUCGGCUAACUCCGUGCCAGCAGCCGCGGUAAUACGGAGGAUCCGAGCGUUCUCCGGAUUUAUUGGGUUUAAAGGGAGCGUAGAUGGGUUGUUAAGUCAGUUGUGAAAGUUUGCGGCUCAACCGUAAAAUUGCAAUUGAUACUGGCAGUCUUGAGUACAGUUGAGGUAGGUGGAAUUCGUGGUGUAGCGGUGAAAUGCUUAGAUAUCACGAAGAACCCCGAUUGCGAAGGCAGCUUACUAAACUGUGACUGACAUUGAGGCUCGAAAGUGUGGGGAUCAAACAGGAUUAGAUACCCUGGUAGUC
rnacentral:rRNA from 1 species